CGGGACGGGUGAGUAACGCGUGGAUAACCCGCCUCACACUGGGGGAUAACAGUUAGAAAUGACUGCUAAUACCGCAUAAGCGCACAGUACCGCAUGGUACAGUGUGAAAAACUCCGGUGGUGUGAGAUGGAUCCGCGUCUGAUUAGCCAGUUGGCGGGGUAACGGCCCACCAAAGCGACGAUCAGUAGCCGACCUGAGAGGGUGACCGGCCACAUUGGGACUGAGACACGGCCCAA
rnacentral:rRNA from 1 species